GGAAGGCAUCAUCAGUACAUACACAGGAAUGAGAGAGCUUCUUUCAACCGGGUUGACCGAAGCUCUCUCAUUCCUGUGUAUGUACUGAUGAUGCCUUC
rnacentral:pre_miRNA from 1 species